rnacentral:rRNA from 1 species
GACGAACGCUGGCGGCGCGCUUAACACAUGCAAGUCGAACGGAAAGGCCUGCUUUCCCUUGUGGAUUGCGGGUACUCGAGUGGCGAACGGGUGAGUAACACGUGAGUGAUCUGCCCCCAACUUGGGUAUAAGCCUGGGAAACUGGGUCUAAUUCCCGAUAGGACUGCAGGGUGGUGCCUGUGGUGGAAAACGAUUUUCUAGUGGUUGGGGAUGAGCUCGCGGCCUAUCAGCUUGUUGGUGGGGUAAUGGCCUACCAAGGCGGCGACGGGUAGCCGGCCUGAGAGGGUGGACGGGCACAUUGGGACUGAGAUACGGCCCAGACGCCUACGGGAGGCAGCAGUGGGGAAUAAUGCACGAUGGGCGGAAGCCUGAUGCAGCGACGCCGCGUGGGGGAUGACGGCCUUCGGGUUGUAAACUCCUUUCGACCGCGAGGAAGCCACCUGGAUGGAAGGGUGGUGACGGUAGUGGUAGAAGAAGCACCGGCUAACUACGUG